rnacentral:rRNA from 1 species
CCUACGGGAGGCAGCAGUGAGGAAUAUUGGUCAAUGGGCUUACGCCUGAACCAGCCAAGUCGCGUGAGGGAAGACUGCUCUAUGGGUUGUAAACCUCUUUUGUCAGGGAGCAAUUGGCGCUACGUGUAGCGUUAUCGAGAGUACCUGUAGAUAAAGCAUCGGCUAACUCCGUGCCAGCAGCCGCGGUAAUACGGAGGAUGCGAGGGUUAUCCGGAUUUAUUGGUUUAAAGGGGUGCGUAGGCGGAAUGCCAAGUCAGCGGUAAAAUCGCGGGGCUCAACCUCGCUCCGCCGUUGAAACUGGCGUUCUUGAGUGGGCGUGAGGCAUGCGGAAUGCGUGGUGUAGCGGUGAAAUGCAUAGAUAUCACGCAGAACCCCGAUUGCGAAGGCAGCAUACCGGCGCCCAACUGACGCUGAAGCACGAAAGCGUGGGUAUCGAACAGGAUUAGAUACCCCUGUAGUC